GUAUUUUUUAUAUAUGUAUAAGUAGAAAACGUGUAUAUAAAUUAAUACAUAGCGCGCGCGCGCGCGUCGUGACUCGGCUCCGCGAUACGAAAAUCUCAAAUCGCUGAUGGUCGAAAGCAAAGCUGCGCCUGUAACAAGAAAGAAAGAGAACGCUCGAGACAGAAGAGGAUAGGUUGGGAAGGAGAUAGACGCUUGAGAAAGAAAGAGACAGUUGAGCUCCCCACUCGUCGCCUUGGCUGCUCGACGUACGCCGAUAAGUGGGGAUAAAGUGCCAGCCGGUGCAAGUGGGUCUGUUCCCUCUGGCUGUCGGUGUGGCUGCAAAUCGGCGCCUCAAUGGCAACUCUGCUAGCGGGAAGUGCUUCUUCCCCCUAGCUUACCCUAGGAGAACGCACGGGCGGGCUAGUGUAGCGCGUCUCAGUCAGUCGUGGCUCAGAUAGUAGCGCAGAGCGAAUGGCAUCGUUGCCUUGGGUCACCUGAUAUCGCAGAGCAAUCACAGCGCUCUGAAGGAGCGAUGUGUACGCACCUAACGACUAACGCUAGCACUCUGCUAAGUAUACCGGGACUAAGUAAUAUACACGAGACAGAUGCAAGCUGUAGUACAAGUGAGGACACUGCAUAUUUCAGAUACAAAAGAACAAGUAGAAAAAUUUGACAAUCCUAAAAUUUCGACAAAGGACUGCUGGAAUAUAUUGUCAAAAGAAAUGGAUAAGGCUGAAUACCAAAUACCUCCAACAAAAUGCAACAAAAUUUCAAAGUUUAAAAAGGACAUAUAAAUCCAUUACUGACCACAAUAAAAAAUCAGGAACAAUACAAAAAAAUAGGAAUAUUAUGAGAUUAUGCACUAGAUAUUUGGUACUAAGCCAUGGAUUCAACCACAAUCAAUAGCUGGGUCUAACGUAAUUGCUAUUAAUAGCAACAUUGAAAACAAAGAUCCAAUAGCAUUAAAGAAACGAAAAAUAAAUCAUGUAGUGGAGGACUAUUGUGAAAAAUCAAUACGAUUGAAAGAAAAAAAAGGAAAACAGAUUCAAAAACGACACGAAGAGAAGAUGGCAAAAAAUAGAAAAUUUAUUGACAAAAAUUGUAGAAAAAUAAUAUCGCGUUUUUGUGUUACAGAAUAUAACACAAAAGUUUAGGGGUUAGGAUAUAACACAAGAGUUUAAGGGUUGGUUGAUAAUAGCCGCUACUGUAAGAAAUUCACCAAUCAUAAUUGAUUAUUUCUUUUAUACGUCGACUAUGAUUAAUCGAUUUCUUACGGUUACGGCUAUUAUAAAUCAACUUUGAGUUUUUAUUUUUUAUUAAAUUUGUUUUUAUUCUUUUAUUUUAUCAUUACAAAUACAAAACUAGCAUUUAUAGAUCGAUCUCUUUUAAAAUGGUUUGAAGUUUAUUUUUUAAGUUUGUUUUUAUUUUUUUAUUUUAUCAUUACAAAUACAAGGCUAGCAUUUAUAGAUCGAUCUCUUUCAAAAUGGUUUUAAGUUUAGUUUUAAGACGCUAAUAUUGUGAUUGAUUCAAGACAUCUUAAAAUUACACCUAAGAUGAUCUUAAAAUAUGAACAGACUGUGAACAACCUGUUAUUGCUUUAUUUGAAUUUAUUUUUAGUUUAUAAAUUUGAGUUUAUUAAUAUUAAUAUAGUAAUGUACUUUUAUAAUAGCAAAAUAAGCAAAAGCAAGUACAAAGAUAAGUUUGCUAAAAGCAAUAUACAAUUAUGUGUUACCGUUGUAAUAUUAGGUGAUAUAUUUGUGCAGUAUUUUAUCAUUAUGUGAUAUUACCCAGAUAGCAAAACGUGCUGAAGCAUAGAAGCAGCAAACCUUGUUGGAUUUGUUUGCUGCUUCUAUGCCAAAUCUAGUGCAGCAUAUGUCGCAUACAGAAAUUUACAUGUGUAAAAAUUGUGAUUUUAAUAAUGAAACGCUUCUUUAUAAAUA